GCUUAAAGCACGCUUUAUUUAUGGCCGUGCCUACCCCCAAGCCUCGGGGUUGUUUUGAGCCAGCAGGGAAGGUGUACUUAAUAUAGAGCAGGAGGGUAUGUGUGCAAUGUUCUUUGAAUGAUGAUUGCAAGGUGCACAGAGAAGAUUUGACUUUAUUUAGACAUUCGGUUUCUUCACAGUCUCCUCUCUGGAAGGGCUCUUGGCUUCCUCUCCAGACAGCAUGUGUGUGCUCCCCAACACUGAGAUCUGACGUGCCCCCAGAUUCCCUGGGCUCAGAAAACAGGACACGCCGAGGACAUAGAAGCCUGGCACCAGGCGCAGAGCUUCCGCCACCAAGGAUGUUCCAGCAGAGACCACACAGCCGCGUGGCCUGGACUCGAAGCCAUCGAAGUUUUGAAUCUCUAAGUCCUUAUUUCUUGCCAGCCCAACUAUUAAUAAAUCAAAAGCUCC
rnacentral:lncRNA from 1 species